rnacentral:rRNA from 1 species
AUACGGAGGAUCCGAGCGUUAUCCGGAUUUAUUGGGUUUAAAGGGUGCGCAGGCGGCCAUUUAAGUCAGCGGUUAAAUCGUGGGGCUCAACCCCAUUCUGCCGUUGAUACUGGGUGGCUUGAUUGCGGUCGAGGUUGGCGGAAUUCGUUGUGUAGCGGUGAAAUGCAUAGAUAUGACGAAGAACACCGAUUGCGUAGGCAGCUGACCAGACCGCAAAUGACGCUCAUGCACGAAAGUGCGGGGAUCGAACAGGAUUAGAUACCCUGGUAGGCCGCACAGUAAACGAUGAAUACUUGUUUUCGGCGAUAUAAUGUCGGAGGCAAAGCGAAAGCGAUAAGUAUUCCCCCUUGGGAGUACGCCGGCAACGGUGAAACUCAAAUGAAUUGGCGGGG